rnacentral:rRNA from 1 species
AUACGGAGGGUGCAAGCGUUGUCCGGAUUUAUUGGGUUUAAAGUGUGCGUAGGUGGUUUUUUAAGUCAGUGGUGAAAGCCUACAGCUUAACUGUAGAGGUGCCAUUGAAACUGGGAAACUUGAGUAUGGACGAGGUAGGCGGAAUUUGUGGUGUAGCGGUGAAAUGCAUAGAUACCACAAAGAACACCGAUAGCGAAGGCAGCUUACUAGGCCAUAACUGACACUGAGGCACGAAAGUGUGGGGAGCGAACAGGAUUAGAUACCCGGGUAGUCC